rnacentral:rRNA from 1 species
UACGUAGGGUGCAAGCGUUAUCCGGAAUUAUUGGGCGUAAAGGGCGCGUAGGCGGCUCUGCACGUUCGUUGUGAAAUCGCCCGGCUCAACUGGGCGGGGUCAGCGGAUACGGCAGAGCUUGAGCAAGCUAGGGGGCAAUGGAAUUCCCGGUGUAGUGGUGGAAUGCGUAGAUAUCGGGAGGAACAUCAGUGGCGAAGGCGGCUGCCUGGCCCAAUACUGACACUCAGGUGCGACAGCGUGGGGAGCGAACAGG